UCUUAUGGAUGAGUAAAGACAGUAGUUUUUUGAGAUGGAAUCUAGUCCUGGUGAAGAUGCUGUGAA
rnacentral:pre_miRNA from 1 species